rnacentral:tRNA from 4 species
GUCAAGAAAGUGUAGUGGUCUAGCAUUCCAGGCUGUCAAUCUGGCGACCCGGGUUCAAAUCCCGGCCAAGGCG